GAUGAACGCUGGCGGCGUGCCUAAUACAUGCAAGUCGAGCGAACGGACGAGAAGCUUGCUUCUCUGAUGUUAGCGGCGGACGGGUGAGUAACACGUGGAUAACCUACCUAUAAGACUGGGAUAACUUCGUGAAACCGGAGCUAAUACCGGAUAAUAUUUUCAACCGCAUGGUUCAAAAGUGAAAGGCGGUCUUGCUUCCACUUAUAGAUGGAUCCGCGCGGCAUUAGCUAGUUGGUAAGGUAACGGCUUACCAAGGCAACGAUGCAUAGCCGACCUGAGAGGGUGAUCGGCCACACUGGAACUGAGACACGGUCCAGACUCCUACGGGAGGCAGCAGUAGGGAAUAUUCCGCAAUGGGCGAAAGCCUGACGGAGCAACGCCGCGUGAAUGAUGAAGGUCUUCGGAUCGUAAAACUCUGUUAUUAGGGAAGAACAUAUGUGUAAGUAUCUGUGCACACCUUGACGGUACCUAAUCAGAAAGCCACGGCUAACUACGUG
rnacentral:rRNA from 1 species